rnacentral:rRNA from 1 species
CCUACGGGUGGCAGCAGUAGGGAAUCUUCCACAAUGGACGAAAGUCUAAUGGAGCAACGCCGCGUGAGUGAAGAAGGGUUUCGGCUCGUAAAGCUCUGUUGGUAGUGACGAAAGAUAGAGGUAGUAACUGGCCUAUAUUUGACGGUAAUUACUUAGAAAGUCACGGCUAAAUACGUGCCAGCAGCCGCGGUAAUACGUAGGUGGAAAGCGUUGUACGGAUUUAUUGGGCGUAAAGCGAGUGCAGGCGGUUCAAUAAGUCUGAUGUGAAAGCCUUCGGCUCAACCGGAGAAUUGCAUCAGAAACUGUCGAACUUGAGUGCAGGAGAGGAGAGUGGAACGCGAUGUGUAGCGGUGGAAUGCGUAGAUAUAUGGAAGAACGCCAGUGGCGAAGGCGGCUCUCUGGUCUGUAACUGACGCUGAGGCUCGAAAGCAUGGGUAGCGAACAGGAUUAGAUACCCCGGUAGUC